UGGGGGAGGGUUUGGGGGCAUGUGGGUUGCCCUUGCUCCAUUUUGAGGCAUCUCGUGAGAGGCUCUGCCUCUAAUUUGAGUUGAUAGCUAGAAAGAGAGGGGAAGGGGAAUGGAGGAGUGUGAGGUUGGGAGCCCUUGCCGGCAGCAUGCACAUCAGGGUUGUUGGAUUGGAUGAACCUCUUCCCCUCCCUUGUUUACAGCCAUAAAUUGGCAAGAAGUGGGAAAAUUAGGGAAAACUGUCUCAUUUUUUUUUCAGUUGGCAUGAAAUUUUGAUGUGCUGUUUUCUUUGAGAAUAUUUUAUUUUUUACAAACUAUUAUUAUUCUUGGAUUAGAAUAUUAAUAAUAAGUAGAAAACAAAAUUUGGGAUGGAAAAAUUGUAGCAUAGCUGCAUUUGUAGUGUUUUUAUACUAUAAUUUUUUGGUUUAGAUCAGACAAUCUGGUGGUGCAUUUGGGAGCCCCGAGCAUAAGCUCAAAAUUGUGAUCAAUUUUAUAUUAUCCCAUCAAAAUAAUCAUCUAAAACACUUUGGUAUCACACCCAUCAAAAUGCAUCUAAAACACUACAAAAUGACAAAGUGAGACUGAUAGCCUUGUUAGACAUAGAAACACAAAGAAAUGAAAAAAACAAAGAAAAAUGAAGUUUUGGGCGUCCAUGUAUGAUGCUGGGAAGCAAUCCCGUACUGUAUGUUGGUACAAGACAACAAAUACCUUACUGGUUUGACAGACACCACCUUUGUACAGAUUUUAAAAACCAUGGUUAGAAUGCCUUAAGAGCUUACUCUACAUAGGGAUUAUGGAAACAGCAUGAAAGACGAGAAAACUUCUUUUCAUUUAGAAAAAUGAGCAUAACAUUGAUUACUUUUAGAAGUUUUCUAUCAUUCCAAUGACCCUGAUAUUCUAUCUUGGCAGAUUUGCUUUGCGCACCCUAGUAUGAUUUUUGUUCCAAUUGAGUCCUAGGCUGUGUCUCUCCUAUUCAAAAAUCAUACAGAUUAUGUAUUCCAAUGACCCUUGUCAUAUAUAAUAUUUCAAUCACACACUUGCAUACACCUUGCAUCAGGUUAUCAUGUAUUAUGGUGAUGAAUGCUGAAUGAUGGUGGAAAUUUCUCGAACUUUCAGAUUUAGAAAAUUGAUACAGAAACGACAUUUGAUAUUGGGACUAAAGCUUUGUGGUAUUCUGUUGCAGCAAGGAUUACACAACAAAGCUUAGAACUUAGCCAAACUACUUUGUAGUCUCGAUAAUAUGUCACCUUUUCACUUAUGGGUAAGUUUGAAAACCUGUAUGUGAUAAAAUCUUGCCCUAGUUCAGAUGAAGGUGAACUGUUUGAUAUAGAAUAUAACCAUUUUCAACAAAUGAAUAAUUCAGUACUUAGCCUUGUAAAUGAACUGUUUGAUAUAGAAUGCCAAUCUAUGUUACACGGACUUGGGUUCAUGCGUCAGGUGCUGGUGCUGUGUCAAGCAUUGGAUCCUUUUGCUUUCUAAGAAUUUUUUUCCUUAUGGAGCCGUGUCUUCCGAUGUCCAUGUUUCUGUUUCCUCUCUCUCUCUCUCACACUCUCACUCUUUUUAACUAAAGACGUUAACUUUUAAGCAUAAGUCAAGAUUGAAAGUGAUGUGAUUAUUAUUAUCCUUUCAAUAAAGAUUGACUAUUCGUUGAUGUAAAUCCUUUCAACAAUGAUGUUUGCUGUUGAAGCACUAUUUAGGCACUUGGUGCCAGAUGGUGUUCACACUAGAGAACAUUAUCAAAAAAGUGCAUAAUUAAUGAGAUAAAAAAUUGAGGAGAACUUGACAUAUUACAUAUUUUUUUUUGAAAUGAAAGGUGGAGCUAGGAUAAAGAAUUAAGCCUAUUUGUUCGUUUUAAGUGCGGUGAGUGGGAGGUAAUUUUACCAAAGUGACCUUGGCUCCUCUGGACGGAGACCACUUUGGGCCAUUUCUUCCAUUUGUGGGCCAUUUCAGUUGGCUUCUGAUGGGCCAAAUUGACUUUGGGUGCUUAGUUAGAGGCAACCAAAGAUGCCUUCAAUUUGAUUUAAGUGUUGCAGAAGAGAACUCUGCAGGUGAAUUAGGUAGAAUUCAAUUAUUUUCCUUUUUUAUGUGAUGAUUCAUUACUUUAUUGGUUGAUUUUUUAUCAGAAAUUGUUCUGAACAUCUCCAAAAUAAAAUUUAGAAAAUUAAUAUAAGUGGUAUGCAACAGGUGAAACUGUAAUUGUUGAUUCAAACUGAUCGGUUUCUUCUUCCAUGGUUGAAGGAAGACUUGAUUUUCUUUUAUAUGCAUCCAACACAAGCAUAUGAAGGUGAUUGAAAAUGAUCGGUUCCUUCUUCCAUAGUUGGAAGGAAGACUUGAUUUUCUUUUAUAUGCAUCCAACACAAGCAAUAUGUAGGUAUUCUGAUCAAGUUAGAGUUGUGAAAGUUGCUAAGGGUAUACUUUUUCUGAUAAAAAAACUAUAUAAGUGAUGGCUUUGGUGACUUCAAAGAAUGAUAACUUUAUGAAAUAUGUGUCAUAAUUGUCUGGACUAAGGGAGAUUUGCUAAAGCUCUAUAUGCUGAGAAGCUUAUUAUUUGGACAAUAAAGCCCAAGUCACCUGCCCAGUAAGGGGAGUUCUUCAAAACCUGCCUGCUUGUAGAUACAAAAGCACAUAUAUCAGCAUCUGUCACCUAGAGUUUUUGGAAGGUUUGGGCAAACUUGUCCAUUUAAAAUCUAUUGCGCACAGAAGGACCCUCAUUACAAAAUUGAGGGAUUCUUUGAUCUCUCUCUCUCUCUCUCUCUCUCUCUGUGUAUGUGUGUCGAGUUAGCAGUGGGCCUAAAAUGCUGAAUGUGACUCUCCAUUUGAUUUAACCUUGGCAAAGAAAUCUUAGUGAUGAUAAAUUUCGGAUUAUGUGGAGAUAAAAAUAUGUGAGAAUAAAAAAAGUCAUUAACCGUUUUAAAUCUUAGUUAAAGACAUUUUAUUGGAUUUCAUUGCAUUUUAUGCACUAACUAGCGGUAUAUAUCAAGAUCUACAUGGUUAAAAGUUGUUUGGGUUUGGAGAAUAUUUGCUCAAAUUAUCAUUUUUGUACUUCCUAUUAAUUUGAGUUAGUAAAAUUUGGCUGGAGUCAUAACAUUUGAAAAUAGCCUGAAAUUAGUGCAUAGUACUUGAGAGGAAAUGAACUUGUCUGUAGCUUGAAUUUGUGGUCGUGGUUGUGGAUUAUCCAGGAAGGUGGGCAGGAGAAACUUUUACGUAUAUAAGCUGCUUUCUUUGAUCUCAUAGUAUUUAAUGCCUGUAAUCUAUCCAGUGCUCUAAUCAUAGAUGAUGAGGUGAUGUGUUUUCUUUCAUAUGUUCCCAAUAUGUGAAAAGUUGUAGAUUCAUAGAUCGUCAGGUGAUGCUUAUAGAUUAUAAUAUGCUAAACUUUUGGUUCAGGACGACAGCCAUGAUACAGUAGCAUUGGCCAGAGCUAUUGGUCUGCAUGAUAUAACGUUUCAUCUCCGAGUAUAUUUUUCUUUAUGAUUGGUUGAGACUGCAAAUUUAUUCGACAUCCAAUGGAUGCAUGGAGAUGGGGCAUGGGAAUUAAACUUAUGAUGAAUUUCUAUGUUGUUUAGAUUUAUUAUCUCUCUUCUUCAUUUCUUGCUUUCUUCAUAUUCAUUUUCCCCCAUGGGGACUUUGUUUUUUGGAAAAAAAACACACAAGAAUGUUACGAAGCUGCCAUCUUCAAGCAUGGGGUUUUUUGAGUCGUCGUAAAAUGUUGUGACAUAAGCUUGUUUCUUUCUGGCAGGAGCCUGAAGGAGGGACAUGGAGAUGUUUCCUACUCUUAGCAAAAAGUUGCAAGCAUUUCAGCUACAUAUGUUGGUUAGUGUAGUUGGUGCCGUCUCUCAUGUUUAUAGCUGUACUCCGCUGUUGUUUGGCAGACAUUUAUGGAUCACUGCUCUGGAUUUUUGAGGAUCAUGUAUCACCUAGCCACAUUGUCAGGAAUAUUUCCAAUCACCUUUAUGUUUUAUGAUGCUUUGAUUGGUAGUUGAUCUAGGCCUUUUAUGUCGUGAAUUGAUGUGUCAGGCUUCUGCACCUGUCUGAUUUAUCAUUACUUUUAAAAUUAAGAGAUCAAGGUUAGUGCUACUAUGUGUAUUCCAUCGUGUUCCUGGAAUGAACCCCAAGCUGGGUUUUUGGUGCCACAAGGGCUGGAGUGUUCUGAUAUGGCCAUUCCUCCCCAGCAGUUCAGCCAAAAAAUCUGGGGUACAUGAAUUUUUAUGCUCGUCAAAUUUAUUGAUUUGGACUGGUAGUGCCAUCUUAAAGUUCAACUAUUGUGUGGCUUUUGGUGGAGAUAUUCAGAUCUUUAACACCAAUAGAAUUGGAUCUCUUUAUCAAAUUAGAAUUAGGGCACAAGACAGUGGAUUUCUUCAUGUCGGAGGAUAUAUCAACUGAUCUGGAAAUGAUAAACAUAUUGAGUUUAUGUUGGUUACUAUUGUUAAUACCUUUUGAACAUCAGUGUUUGAUAAUCGAUUUCUCAAGAAAAAAAAGGGUUAAAUCGUCUGCAGGAGUUGUUCUGUAGGGAAUGCUGUGUUUUGUUUAAUGAUGAAUGUUCCAUUUCGAUGGUUCGAUUUCAUAAUAUAAAGUAUCUAGUUAUUGCACGACUUGUGUGAUGGGUCGACCAUCUUAGUGCUCAAUCUUUACUCUCAAUCUUUAUGUGGCGUGAGAUCGGGAGGUACUUGCCGACUGUGUCGGCUAACACCAGGUGGCUGAUAGGCGAUGGACGGAGCAUCGAUGUGAUUUGUGAUCCGUGGGUGGAUACCCUUCCUUUGAGAUACUGGCCGACGAUGGUGGAUACGAGGCAGCAGAGGGGCACCGGGUAUGCGACCUCCUAGCAACAGGGAGGACAGAGUGGGAUGAGAUCAAACUACAUCAGUUGUUCGGGGCACAUCUUGCUGAGAGGAUUCGCUCCCUACCAGUACCAGGAUGCGAGGGGCCAGACGUCCGGGUAUGGGGCACUUCAUGCAGGGCCAGUGUCAGGUUGGGUGAUCUGUCACGAGUUAUCCAGCAGGAGCAUGAGCGGGGACCGAACUACACCUGGAUAUGGAGGUCCGGGCUCCACCCGAGGGCAGCUCUCUUUUUGUGGAAGGUGAUGUGGGAUCGCCUUCCGACGAGUGCAGUGCUGAGUAGGCGUGGUUUGGGGAUCCCUGCGGAGUGCGGGGCUUGCGGCAUAGACGAGUCUGUGGACCAUGUACUAUUUCGGUGCACUUGGGCGAGGGCGACAUGGCAGUGGACAGGUAUCCCGGAGGUGGCGUGGCGGGAGAGGAGAUUCUUCCUUCAGAUGAUACGACAGUGGUUGGCCAGUACCGGGACACAUCAGGAGGCCAUCAGAGCGACUUGCACAGCCCAUCAGAUCUGGCUAGCAAGGAACGCUCGUACUUUCAGCGAGCGCAGGAUGUCGCCGAUGUUUGUUGCGGAGUCUGCUCGUGCACUGGCGAUGGAGCCCAGACUCACCAUCCCUUCAGAUAUACCCUUGAUAGCUCGGGACACCUGGGGUUCCUUCUCUGCUCAGGCAGCUUCUCGGACGGUGUUUUUCACUUGGGAGCCCCCACCUCCGAGUUUCCUCAAGGUCAACUUUGACGGGUCAGUGUUGGAUGGAGGUACGCGAGGCGGGGUAGGCUUCGUUAUACGGGACCCUCAUUCCAGGGUAGUGGCAGCAGGCGGUUGCCAGUUGUUCGACAUAUCAGUUCCAGGGGCGGUGUUGCGAGCUGCCUGGGCAGGUCUUCGCCACGCGCGGCAGGUGCUGCGGGCUAGCUCGAUCAUCCUGGAGGGCUAUUCGGCUACAGUUAUUGGGUGGAUCCGGCAGGGACCGAGUGGUGAGAGCACAGACCAUCCUCUGAUCCGGGACAUCGGGAUGAUGGUGAGGGAUGGCGCGUCCUUUCAGGCCACGCAUGUAUUCAGAGAGGCCAACGGGGCGGCCGACUGGGUGGCUGCAUACGCGGCCCACCACUCAGGAUACGCCCUGUGGGCAGGAGAGAGGGAGCUGCCAUUGGCACUUCGUGAGAUUAUGUAUUUUGACUUUCUUGGCUGUAUUCGGACACGUGUUGUCUGAAGAACCCGUCAAANNNNNNNNNNNNNNNNNNNNCCAACGGGGCGGCCGACUGGGUGGCUGCAUACGCGGCCCACCACUCAGGAUACGCCCUGUGGGCAGGAGAGAGGGAGCUGCCAUUGGCACUUCGUGAGAUUAUGUAUUUUGACUUUCUUGGCUGUAUUCGGACACGUGUUGUCUGAAGAACCCGUCAAAGCAAAAAAAAAAAAAAAAAAAAAAAAACAAAAAAGUGCUUACAGCAUAGGAGGAUUGUAAUCGGCAUGAUGUGGCUCUUGUGAGCUGCACAAUAAUUAAAUUAUCGUAUUGGCUCUUCCGUUAUUUUCAGGUCUUGAACUGUGUCCAGUGUUUCCGGGGUUGGAAUUGAGGUAAUAUGGAAGUUGCCAUAUCUUGGCAAAAACACCGAAAAUCUGGAUCAAUGUUGCUCGGAGAGGUCAGAUUUGAAAAUCUUAUUCCGAAUAGAAGGCUGGAAUCCAACAUAGAAGAUUAGUGUCUUCAAGCGAAUGUAAAAAAGGGUCUGACUAUAUCUUUUUUGUUUUAAGUGCAAGAAGCAACUUUAGGCAUGAUUUUUCUUCUAGCAAUUGGAUGUAGGAGGGAUCUCAAGGGAGACAAGGUUCCUUUCACGCUAUAGGAAGCAUCCUAUUCCAUGGCUCUUUGAGCUGUGCUUGCUGCCAACGGUUAUGUCCCCACGUUACAUUAGUUAAGGACAAAACCCAGUUCUCUGCCUGGUCCACGUACAGUUCUCAAAUGGGUUCUAUUUGUUCUCUCCUAUUAUCUCAUCUAAGAUGGCAGUUCAUUUUGCUCUGCUUACAACUCCUAGCAAAUGGCGACUGGAGUGGGUCGGAUAUAUUCAAUUCAAUCUUAUCUAUACAUGCAGAUAGGCUGUUUCUAUGUUUAUAACUUGUGACCUCGAGAUCACCAGCCCUGAUAUAUCUAUUUUUAAAAUCACCUAAAAUUCACUAGCUGUCUUUUGAUACAAACAAAUAAAACAAUCAGGAGCCAUGGUAAUAUGUUCAAAUUAUUCCAUAUGAUGGCCAAAAAUAAUGAAAAGCAUCUCCUUUCUCCGUUCUUAAACCUAUGAAGAUCCUCAAACCAUGUGAACACUUUGACUAAUUGUCAUUUCUUUCAUGUUAAGGCUUUCAUUUUAAAGUUUCCAGUACGAACCAACGCUUCUUGGUGCCAUAUAUCUACCAACACUGUCAUCGAGUCACAAAUCUAUGUCACGAGAUUGUACUACUCCCAGUAGCCGUUGUCUUCAUUUCACUCACGCUCUAAUACUAUAGAGAGCCACGGAAAGAGAUCCAAGAGAUGAGCAAUUUACAACAAAUCAUACCUCAGUCUACUUUCAUGGAGCUCUAUCCGAUAAUUUUCCUUUCCAGCAUUUCUACGGUUUGCUUGAUCCUGAAUUAGCCCUAUCACAAAUGCAUAAUUCUCCGAUUAAGCAUGUGCGAACAAAUAAAGCUUUUUCUAUUAAUAGGUUGUUCUAGCGUCAUCCAAGUAAGCAACAAUAUUGACUAUAUAUAUAUAUAUAUAUAGUAACUUUACUUUAGUAUAGNNNNNNNNNNNNNNNNNNNNGUAAAGUACAACAAUAAUUGUACUAUAUAUAUAUAUAUAUAUAGAAUUACUUUAGUAUGAUAACUGGCUACUGCAUUGGUUUGAUAAGUCUGAUUAAUUUUAAUGGGAUCUGCAUGUAGCUCUCAAGAGGGUUUUGCAAUUUGAGGACAGGUUCCAUUGGUAGUGGAUGAAGAAGCGCACCAUCAUCCACCACCGGACCCACUUUCAAGAUCCUUUCCACUUUACUGACCCCAUUCAUCUCCUUUCCUUGGACUCAGAACUUAUGCUUUGGUUCAUAUGUUAUCUUUCAGCAUACGUAUCGAUACAUUCCACGGCAUUAACCCCUUAUACUUCAUGACAUUUAUGUGGGUGUGCUAAACCUUACUUAAACACCGUUGAUAUUUGUGUUUAACAUCAAAUGACAAGGUUAUUCCAUGGCAAACAUGAAACAUGAAAUGACCAGUUGGCAUCCACCUGAGAAAAUGAGUCCUAGAAAAACAGUGUUCUUGAAAAAGUGGAGCUACAUGGGAAAAAAUCCACCUCUGAUACAUGGUGAUUCUGAUACAUCGAGAUUAUAUUUGUGAAAUGUGAGAAGGUGGAACCAAUUAACUGGCUAAUUCAAUUGGUUUUAGAAGGUCGACGAGUUCAAUGAUAACUUCAUAAAAGGAUCCCAAAGUGCCUCUUUUCAUUAGAGCCUUCAUGAAAUCUGAGAGUGGAGAUAAUUUAUUUUUCACCUGCUUGUCCAUCACAGAAAUAUUCCUGCGGGAUAAAAUCCCACUUGUAGAAAAUAGGCAACAGCACCAACAUCUUUAGUUCUUUACAAGGGGUUUAGAAACAAGUACCUUUAACUGUUAUCUGAUCCCUCCUCAUUAUCUGGAAAUACAAACUGCAGAUCUUCAUUAUCUCUGUAAACUUGGACUAAGGCUGCAGCUUUAUAUGCGAAAAAGCCAAACAUUCCAGGAACAAGCUGUGAAUGGAAAAGGAGAUCCAUUAGCAUUGAAUUAUACAUAUGGAACAUGUCUGAUCCUCAUUUUUGCAAAUUGAAAUAGUAUUGGUCAAGAAAAUGAAAUAUCAGUGGAAUAUGCUGUCAGAUAUGUCUAAGCAACAACAUUUUGAUAGAAGUAAAGGCGACAGGCUAACGUUUCAAGGAAAAAGAUGCAGGAAAAAUGGAAAUGUCUCGAGUUUCAGCUUAUAAGAUUUGGAUAUGUGCCUACAUGAAACUGAUUCAAUAUGCCAGGUCUGCGCUCCUAAACUUAAACCAGAAGAGGAGCUUAUGACCACCUGAGUUGAAGAAAGGAAUGGAUAAUAAAUUAAAUAUUUCCUUUUAAUCAUGUUGCUAUUCUGCUCGAUGAACAAUUGUUACAGUAUCAAUCAGCUCGAGCCUCCAAAAUUUCAAAUGAUUUUACUGUCUCCUCAUGUUGAUAUGAUGUGAUUUUAAAUUGUUAAAAUUGGGGAAAGAGCUAUGUUGGUCAUGCAUUAUAUGAGAUCUUUGAGUAGAUAUAGUCUGCUGCUAAAAAAAGUUGCCUUGUUUAAAUCUCAAAUUGAUGAACUACUCAGCAGUUAGCACUAUUACUCAUCAAAGUAAAUAUCAUCAAACCUACUUAGCUCGUAACUAUAAGUUUUAAAUGCAUAUCCGUACCAUGAAACAACAAUGUCAAUUUGUUUCUGACAUGCAUUCCCAGAUGUCUAUGGUUUAGGACCAACUGGCCCCUAAGAGACCAAAAUGGACGGCAAAUGCCAAACUCUAUUAUAACCAUCGGGAGGAAACUAGAUUGGUUCAAUUCCUGAUGGCUCUUCAAGGAGACUUUUGACUCUGUUCUGAUACUAUCACAUUCUCUUAACUGUUGAUGUCACCCUUUUAGAGUUGAUGGUAGAAGAAACAUGUGAAGGAAUAACCACCUUCUCCACCAUAGAUAAUGCGUCAAUUCAUGCAGCUGACUCACCAUCCUCCCCCAUACCCUAAACCUUCUGCAGGUCUGCCUAAAGUCAUGCUGUUAGGAUCCCUCGCAUGUUGCAGAAAAUUUCAGAAAAAUUCAAUGCGCAGCAGAAAGGCAUGCGCGAAAUCCCGUUCAUCGCAUGAACGUAAUUUUAAAAAUCGUUUGUAGAUAGAUUAGGAUUAAAUUCUUUUAAACUAUUUUUAAAUAAUUAAGAAGAUCAGAUCUUCACCUUGUGCGAGUAGAUGAUCACCGCAAAUCUGAUAUUCGUGGAUUUGAUGGAGGUUCGAUGGAAGCCGCACACGUGUCUGGCCUCUACGGGUAUCCACACGAGGUAGUGAACCGAUCGAUGCUCUCGUAUCUCUCUGGGGUGCUAGCUCCCUUGCAGAGA
rnacentral:lncRNA from 1 species